AUUGAACGCUGGCGGCAUGCCUAACACAUGCAAGUCGAACGGCAGCACAGUAUGUAGCAAUACAUAUGGGUGGCGAGUGGCGGACGGGUGAGUAACGCGUGGGAAUCUGCCCUAUAGUGGGGGACAACCCGACGAAAGUCGGGCUAAUACCGCAUACGCCCUACGGGGAAAGGCUUCGGCCGCUAUUGGAUGAGCCCGCGUCGGAUUAGCUAGUUGGUGAGGUAAUGGCUCACCAAGGCGACGAUCCGUAGCUGGUCUGAGAGGACGAUCAGCCACACUGGGACUGAGACACGGCCCAGACUCCUACGGGAGGCAGCAGUGGGGAAUAUUGGACAAUGGGCGAAAGCCUGAUCCAGCAAUGCCGCGUGAGUGAUGAAGGCCUUC
rnacentral:rRNA from 1 species